rnacentral:rRNA from 1 species
GACAGGGAGACAGGUGGUGCAUGGUUGUCGUCAGCUCGUGUCGUGAGAUGUUGGGUUAAGUCCCGCAACGAGCGCAACCCCUACGUUUAGUUGCUAACGCGUGAAGGCGAGCACUCUAGACGAACUGCCGUUGACAAAACGGAGGAAGGUGGGGAUGACGUCAAAUCAUCAUGCCCCUUAUGUUCUGGGCUACACACGUGCUACAAUGGCCGGUACAGACGGACGCAAAGCCGCGAGGUGGAGCGAAUCCCAGAAAGCCUGUCUCAGUCCGGAUUGAAGUCUGCAACUCGACUUCAUGAAGGCGGAAUCGCUAGUAACCGCGAAUCAGCAGGUCGCGGUGAAUACGUUCCCGGGCCUU